ACAGCCUCUGGUCGAUGGAACAA
rnacentral:snRNA from 1 species